rnacentral:misc_RNA from 1 species
GAUGAAGAACGUAGCGAAAUGCGAUAAGUAAUGUGAAUUGCAGAAUUCAGUGAAUCAUCGAAUCUUUGAACGCACAUUGCGCCCGCCAGUAUUCCGGGGGGCAUGCCUGUUCGAGCGUCAUUUCACCACUCAAGCCUCGCUUGGUAUUGGGCAACGCGGUCCGCCGCGUGCCUCAAAUCGACCGGCUGGGUCUUCUGUCCCCUAAGCGUUGUGGAAACUAUUCGCUAAAGGGUGUUCGGGAGGCUACGCCGUAAAACAACCCCAUUUCUAAGGUUGACCUCGGAUCAGGUAGGGAUACCCGCUGAACUUAAGCAUAUCAAUAAGCGGAGGA